UAAUUAUCUAUAUAUUCCUCAAAACUUCUAAAAAUAUCUUAUAUACAUUUUUUUUUGUUUCAAAUAUAUCCCUUGUUUAUUUUUCUGUUAUUUAAAAAUAAUCCCGCCGUUAAUACCCGUUAAAUUAUCUUCGGUUAAAUCUAGAUUAAAUUUUUACCAUUGUUAAAAAGAAGUUAAAAUACCUCUUUUGUCUCUAAUUUAAGGGCAAAUAAGAAAAAUUGGUGACGUUAGAAAGGUAUAUUUGAAAUGGCAAAAUAGUAAUUUCACAGAUAUAACAGUUAUUUUUAACUGUUCAUUGAUAGAAUCUAGCUUUAUGGGUAUGUUUGAAAAAACUUGGAAUAUUAAAAGAGUAUUUUUAAUAUUAGCCAUCUAAGUGGGAUAAAUAAGAAAUUUUGAAACUUUUCAGAGAUAUGUAGACAGUUGCCCUUUUAAAAUAGGCUAAAUUACAUAAAACUUUUCUGUCAAAAUUCGAUUUUUCACUUUUCCCUCUAUCAUUUAAAAAUCUACACUUUGCCCUCUUGUAAAAUGAAAAAUGUUCACUUCGCCCCCUACCGUUAGUAAUCUGUUAGGGUUCCGUUUAUAAAAUAUUAUUAUAUUUUUUUUUAUACCAAAAAUGCCCCUAGUCUUCUCUCAUGUGAACAUGGUGAGGAGCAAAAUAGUCAUUUUAUCAUCACAGUUCACACCGUACCUCUUGUGAAUAUUUUUUAUUUUACAAGGAGACAAAGUGUAGGUUUUUAGAUGAUAAGAAGAAAAAGUGAAAAAUCGAAUUUUGACAGAGAGUUUUCUGUAAUUUAGCCUUUAAAAUAUUAUCAUAUCUAUUCUUGCUGCAUGAUUUAUUA
rnacentral:lncRNA from 1 species